rnacentral:rRNA from 1 species
GGCCCGCCUGCCCAGUGACUACAUGUUCAACGGCCGCGGUAUUUUAACCGUGCGAAGGUAGCGUAAUAACUUGUCUUUUAAAUGGGGACUAGUAUGAAUGGCACCACGAGGGCUUAACUGUCUCCUUUUUUAGGUCAAUGAAAUUGAUCUUCCCGUGCAAAAGCGGGAAUACAUACAUAAGACGAGAAGACCCUGUGGAGCUUAAGACAUGAACAGACCGCGUUUAACAUGCCUUGACAAAAGGCCAGACUAGAGGAAGCCUGCUCACAUGUCUUUGGUUGGGGCGACCGCGGAGCAUAGAAAAACCUCCCCUCCGUGUGGAAUGAGGAUACCUUUUACCCCCUUUUUCUUCUUACUUUAUCCUCAAAACUAAGAGCCACCACUCAAGGUAACAGAGAAUUCUGACCUCAACGAUCCGGCACACAGCCGAUUAACGAACCAAGUUACCCCAGGGAUAACAGCGCAAUCCCCUUUUAGAGCCCAUAUCGACAAGGGGGUUUACGACCUCGAUGUUGGAUCAGGACAUCCUAGCGGCGCAACUGUUGCUAAGGGUUCGUUUGUUCAACGAUUAAAGUCCUACGUGAUC